UACAGAGGUCUCAAGCGUUGUUCGGAUUCAUUGGGCGUAAAGGGUGCGUAGGCGGCGCGGUAAGUCGGGUGUGAAAUCUCGGGGCUUAACUCCGAAACUGCAUUCGAUACUGCCGUGCUUGAGGACUGGAGAGGAGACUGGAAUUUACGGUGUAGCGGUGAAAUGCGUAGAUAUCAGGAGGAACACCGGUGGCGAAGGCGGGUCUCUGGGCCGAAAUUGACGCUGAGGAGCGAAAGCGUGGGGAGCAAACAGG
rnacentral:rRNA from 1 species